UGGGGAAUAUUGGACAAUGGGCGAAAGCCUGAUCCAGCCAUGCCGCAUGAGUGACGAAGGCCUUAGGGUUGUAAAACUCUUUCGUCGGGGACGAUAAUGACGGUACCCGAAGAAGAAGCUCCGGCUAACUUCGUGCCAGCAGCCGCGGUAAUACGAAGGGAGCUAGCGUUGUUCGGAAUCACUGGGCGUAAAGCGCACGUAGGCGGAUAGUUAAGUCAGGGGUGAAAUCCUGGGGCUCAACCCCAGAACUGCCUUUGAUACUGGCUGUCUCGAGGUCGAGAGAGGUUGGUGGAAUUCCUAGUGUAGAGGUGAAAUUCGUAGAUAUUAGGAAGAACACCAGUGGCGAAGGCGGCCAACUGGCUCGAUACUGACGCUGAGGUGCGAAAGCGUGGGGAGCAAACAGGAUUAGAUACCCCCGUAGUCCCUGAGCGGGCUGGCAAGGCGCAU
rnacentral:rRNA from 1 species